rnacentral:rRNA from 1 species
CCUACGGGAGGCAGCAGUGGGGAAUAUUGGACAAUGGUGGGAACCCUGAUCCAGCCACGCCGCGUGAGUGAGGAAGUAUUUCGGUAUGUAAAGCUCUAUCAGCCGGGAAGAAAAUGACGGUACCUGAUCCAGAAGCCGCGUCUAACUACGUACCAGCAGCCGCGGGACUACGUAGGGGGCAAGCGUUAUCCGGAUUUACUGGGUGUAAUGGGAGCGUAGACGGCAGCACAGGUCUGGAGUGAAAUGCCGGGGCUUAACCCCGGAACUGCCUUGGAAACUGUGCAGCUAGAGUGCAGGAGAGGUAAGUGGAAUUCCUAGUGUAGCGGUGAAAUGCGUAGAUAUCAGGAAGAACACCAGUGGCGAAGGCGGCUUACCGGACUGUAACUGACGUUGAGGCACGAAAGCGUGGGUAGCAAACAGGAUUAGAUACCCUUGUAGUC